CGCACUGCGAUGGAGCACCAACAAGCGGUGGGCGCUGCAGUGCAACUCCGUCGCUGGCGCCGUCGGGGUGCCGCAGUGGAGCCCGCCAUGCCAUGCCGGUGCGGGCUGCAGCGAAACAUCGUCGACGACGUCGGGUGCUGCGAUGAAGCAUCGAUGGACCACCGCUGGGCCGACAUCGGUGCUGCUGUGAAGCAUCCCAGGCGACGAAGGGUGCUGCGAUGGAGCGCCGCGGGAGGGACCAUUGAAACUUCGCCGGGAUUGCAUUGAAGCACCGGCGGCGCUGCAAUGGAGCGUGCCCAGGGCUGCAAUGAGCGUGUCUGGGGUCAUUGGAGCUCCGCCGCGGUUCCAAUGGAGCUUCAUCGGAGUUGCAAUGGAGUGUGGCCGUAGCUGUGAUGGAGCUUCGCCUGGCCUGCAAUGGAGCGUUGUUGUGGCUACAAUGAAGCUUCGUCGAAGAAGGAUUCUUUUUUGUGCUUGGUGUUGCGACGGACAUGGCUGUGGUGGAGCAGGCCGGUGCUCCCGGAGCGCUACCCGGCGCUGCAGCGGUCGGUGGUGGCUCUCGCAGAUGCGGUGCAGUGCUCGUCGACGGCUCCAUUGCCACGGCGGGUGCUGCGUUGCUCCGGUGGAACCGUGAAAGGGGAUCAAAGAAGGAAGACGUGAGGCGGGGCUCUGUUACUCGGAUCAAACGGCCAUCCAGCGAUAGAUCGGAUGGCUACCCAGGCGGAUGAUUUCUUAAAGAAAUCAUCCGACUGAUUUGUAGCAGCCGCCGAACAAAAAUGGUUCAACUUAACAAGAUGUGUGUGAUACGCGGCAAACAGGUUUGUAAUCAGAAAUGUGUGUGAAGACCGAUAAUAACACAGACGAUUGCUGCUAAUAAGACCUGUGUGUUGUGCGAUGUGAUUGCAUACAGAACUACAACAUACACUAUAAUCCCAGGAUUAGAAUAGUUAUUUGGAUCACAUCAGCCCCAAUAAGGGCCCGACAGAACCCACCCGAACUUCCCGAACUGCCGGCCCGCCCCGACAGGAUCCCACCUGGUCCCGAUCCCGAUUCAGCCGCCCUAGCCCCCCUCCUCGCCGCUCCUCCCCUCGAUCACCAGCCUCCCCCUGUGAUUCGCCGCCGAACUCCGCCGGAUCCAGCGCCUCCCCUCCGUCUCCAGCUCCUGGCCGACCGGAUCCAGCACCUCCUCUCCGACUCCACCUCCUGGCCGACCGGAUCCAGCUCCGCCCCCUCCGUCGCCACCAUCUGUCCAAUCGCCGGCUCGGGCGAGUGAGCGACGGCGAACGCCGGCGCGAGGGAGCCCCCAUCGCCUGGAGGCGGUGAAGCCGUCGGACUUUCUGCCACUAAUAGCGAUGGACUUUCGGAAGCCUCCUCCUCCUCCCAUCCUCACCGCCCGACGGCUUAGCAGAGCUGAUGACGGCCAAGGUGCAAGCUACGGCGAACGACGCGGCCAAGGAAGCAUCUCAGCGGCGGAGGCCGCAUCGGUGGUGCCUUCAAAACUAGCAAAGGUAGAUGAACUUCCUCCCUCUUCUUGCCUACUCCUUCAAUCUUGCCUUGCCUGACCUUCUUGGUUCGUGCAGAUGAACUUCGCGCCCUCUGCAAGACAUGGAUUUCCAUGGAAUUCCUCUCCUAGCUCUCCUACGAAUUGCUCUCAAGGUGGCCUAUCUACUGCGGGAAAAAGGUUGGCCGAACUUCUAGCCAAGCAAGAUGAGAGGCGCAGGAAGAAGCUUAGAAGUUCCCAGCAGCAAAUACACAAUCCUAAGCCUGUACGCGUUGCGCCACCACCUCAAUGGGUCACACCUCAACCGCACCAACAACAUUACCAACCUGCUCCACACCAAAAUUGGAUGACACCCGAAACACAUGCAGACUACCAAGACGCUGGUUCACAUCCCUAUCCGCACCACUUUGUGCCUCCACCUGAUUGGGUGACGCCGGAAAUCCCCCGCGGAUUCUUUGUAUCCACCAGCAGACUUCCAAGCACACCGAUGGAGGAGGGGGUUAGCUCAAGUCCUGCGUGUAACUCUGAAGGUUAUCCUGGUGUGGAUCAUCAAUGCCAAAGGGUAGCAACUAAAACGGAUCCCAGGACAAAUCCAACAGGAACACACACACGGAGGAGAGUGCUCUGCACACUACCGUCGUUGGAUGCUGCUGCUACAACUCAAAUUGUACGGGACAUAAGGUAGAUGGAUUGCUUCACAGAACAAAAGAGCAAACCAAAACCAGGUUCGCAAUACCUCCACAACCACCACAAGCAAAAAGGAUGCAAACAAGAGAGAGGCCAUCUUCAGCCCUCCUUCCUCCUCGUGAUCCACUCCUGCAUCCUGCUAUGAUAACUCCGCCAUGCCCCAUCCUAGAGGGCCAGCAGCAGACUCCCGUGGAGUUGCGAUCAUACACACACAUGCCGGAUCUCCUGGAUUAUCUAAUACCGAGACUAAAGAUGCGAUUCCAGAAUGUAGAGAAAGCAAGGGAAUUUUAUAACAGAUAGGCCAGACAUUCUGGUUUUGGAAUCAGGAAGACGGGAGGGAAUGACAAUCACAAGUAUUUUGUUUGUGUUCCAAGGGAAAGACACAACUUCUGUUUCAGAGGCUGACAGGAAGCGAAACAAAACAUCGCAGAGGACAGGCUGCAAUGCAAGAAUGAGGGUGAAGGUGCAGGAGGAUAAAACACGUGUGGUAGUGGACAUUGAGUACAAUCAUAAUCACCACCUCAUGCAAACUGAUGACAUGCUGGUAUUCUUGCACUCACA